CCCAUUGAUUGAUGGUGCUUGCACCUGAUUGAUUUUGGUUGCCAACGAGUGGCGGACGGGUGAGUAACACGUAGGUAACCUGCCCAGAAGCGGGGGACAACAUUUGGAAACAGAUGCUAAUACCGCAUAACAGCGUUGUUCGCAUGAACAACGCUUAAAAGAUGGCUUCUCGCUAUCACUUCUGGAUGGACCUGCGGUGCAUUAGCUUGUUGGUGGGGUAACGGCCUACCAAGGCGAUGAUGCAUAGCCGAGUUGAGAGACUGAUCGGCCACAAUGGGACUGAGACACGGCCCAUACUCCUACGGGAGGCAGCAGUAGGGAAUCUUCCACAAUGGGCGCAAGCCUGAUGGAGCAACACCGCGUGAGUGAAGAAGGGUUUCGGCUCGUAAAGCUCUGUUGUUAAAGGAGAACACGUAUGAGAGUAACUGUUCAUACGUUGACGGUAUUUAACCAGAAAGUCACGGCUAACUACGUGCCAGCAGCCGCGGUAAUACGUAGGUGGCAAGCGUUAUCCGGAUUUAUUGGGCGUAAAGAGAGUGCAGGCGGUUUUCUAAGUCUGAUGUGAAAGCCUUCGGCUUAACCGGAGAAGUGCAUCGGAAACUGGAUAACUUGAGUGCAGAAGAGGGUAGUGGAACUCCAUGUGUAGCGGUGGAAUGCGUAGAUAUAUGGAAGAACACCAGUGGCGAAGGCGGCUACCUGGUCUGCAACUGACGCUGAGACUCGAAAGCAUGGGUAGCGAACAGGAUUAGAUACCCUGGUAGUCCAUGCCGUAAACGAUGAGUGCUAGGUG
rnacentral:rRNA from 1 species